rnacentral:rRNA from 1 species
UACGUAGGUGGCGAGCGUUGUCCGGAUUUACUGGGCGUAAAGAGCGCGCAGGCGGUCGUUCAAGUCGCGUGUGAAAGCCCCCGGCUCAACUGGGGAGGGUCACGCGAUACUGAUCGACUCGAAGGCAGGAGAGGGAAGUGGAAUUCCCGGUGUAGUGGUGAAAUGCGUAGAUAUCGGGAGGAACACCAGUGGCGAAGGCGGCUCUCUGGGACGGUACUGACGCUGAGACGCGAAAGCGUGGGGAGCGAACAGG